GCUCCUACGGGGCGCAGCAGUGAGGAAUAUUGGUCAAUGGGCGGAAGCCUGAACCAGCCAAGUAGCGUGCGGGAUGAAGGCCCUACGGGUCGUAAACCGCCUUUGCACGGGGAUAACACCCUCCACUUGUGGAGGUCUGCAGGUACCGUGCGAAUAAGGGCCGGCUAAUUCCGUGCCAGCAGCCGCGGUAAUACGGAAGGCCCGAGCGUUAUCCGGAUUCAUUGGGCUUAAAGGGUGCGCAGGCGGAAUGUCAAGUCAGCGGUAAAAUUUCG
rnacentral:rRNA from 1 species